rnacentral:rRNA from 1 species
GGGUUCCUGUCCAACGUUAAUCGGGGCAGGGUGAGUCGACCCCUAAGGCGAGGCCGAAAGGCGUAGUCGAUGGGAAACAGGUUAAUAUUCCUGUACUUGGUGUUACUGCGAAGGGGGGACGGAGAAGGCUAUGUUGGCCGGGCGACGGUUGUCCCGGUUUAAGCGUGUAGGCUGGUUUUCCAGGCAAAUCCGGAAAAUCAAGGCUGAGGCGUGAUGACGAGGCACUACGGUGCUGAAGCAACAAAUGCCCUGCUUCCAGGAAAAGCCUCUAAGCAUCAGGUAACAUCAAAUCGUACCCCAAACCGACACAGGUGGUCAGGUAGAGAAUACCAAGGCGCUUGAGAGAACUCGGGUGAAGGAACUAGGCAAAAUGGUGCCGUAACUUCGGGAGAAGGCACGCUGAUAUGUAGGUGAUGGAGCUGAAAUCAGUCGAAGAUACCAGCUGGCUGCAACUGUUUAUUAAAAACACAGCACUGUGCAAACACGAAAGUGGACGUAUACGGUGUGACGCCUGCCCGGUGCCGGAAGGUUAAUUGAUGGGGUUAGCGCAAGCGAAGCUCUUGAUCGAAGCCCCGGUAAACGGCGGCCGUAACUAUAACGGUCCUAAGGUAGCGAAAUUCCUUGUCGGGUAAGUUCCGACCUGCACGAAUGGCGUAAUGAUGGCCAGGCUGUCUCCACCCGAGACUCAGUGAAAUUGAACUCGCUGUGAAGAUGCAGUGUACCCGCGGCAAGACGGAAAGACCCCGUGAACCUUUACUAUAGCUUGACACUGAACAUUGAGCCUUGAUGUGUAGGAUAGGUGGGAGGCUUUGAAGUGUGGACGCCAGUCUGCAUGGAGCCGACCUUGAAAUACCACCCUUUAAUGUUUGAUGUUCUAACGUUGACCCGUAAUCCGGGUUGCGGACAGUGUCUGGUGGGUAGUUUGACUGGGGCGGUCUCCUCCUAAAGAGUAACGGAGGAGCACGAAGGUUGGCUAAUCCUGGUCGGACAUCAGGAGGUUAGUGCAAUGGCAUAAGCCAGCUUGACUGCGAGCGUGACGGCGCGAGCAGGUGCGAAAGCAGGUCAUAGUGAUCCGGUGGUUCUGAAUGGAAGGGCCAUCGCUCAACGGAUAAAAGGUACUCCGGGGAUAACAGGCUGAUACCGCCCAAGAGUUCAUAUCGACGGCGGUGUUUGGCACCUCGAUGUCGGCUCAUCACAUCCUGGGGCUGAAGUAGGUCCCAAGGGUAUGGCUGUUCGCCAUUUAAAGUGGUACGCGAGCUGGGUUUAGAACGUCGUGAGACAGUUCGGUCCCUAUCUGCCGUGGGCGCUGGAGAACUGAGGGGGGCUGCUCCUAGUACGAGAGGACCGGAGUGGACGCAUCACUGGUGUUCGGGUUGUCAUGCCAAUGGCACUGCCCGGUAGCUAAAUGCGGAAGAGAUAAGUGC